CCUCUGUGCCACUCCAUGCAGCCGCCUAUGUCCCGACUCUCCAGACUACAUCCAUGCCACGACUCCACAACCGCCUAUCUCCGAUUGUGUCUUUGUCACAUCCUACAGCUUCCCAUAUCCCAGCUAUGCUUCGACCUCCGUCGCUACUCCUUCGGACCCUCCGCACUCCAUGGAUCUCUUCAAAGAUAUCUCGGACCCUCCAU
rnacentral:lncRNA from 1 species